rnacentral:rRNA from 1 species
CCUACGGGUGGCAGCAGUGGGGAAUAUUGCGCAAUGGGCGAAAGCCUGACGCAGCGACGCCGCGUGAGGGAUGAAGGUCUUCGGAUCGUAAACCUCUGUCAGCAGGGAAGAACGGUCACUGUGCUAAUCAGCAGUGAAUUGACGGUACCUGCAAAGGAAGCACCGGCUAACUCCGUGCCAGCAGCCGCGGUAAUACGUAGGGGGCAAGCGUUAUCCGGAUUUACUGGGUGUAAUGGGGGCGUAGACGGCGGGGCAAGCCUGGAGUGAAGGGUCGGGGCCCAACCCCGGUAGCGCUGUGGAAACUGCCCGGCUGGAGUGCGUGAGAGGUAAGCGGAAUUCCUGGUGUAGCGGUGAAAUGCGUAGAUAUUAGGAGGAACACCAGCGGCGAAGGCGGCUUACUGGACCGUGACUGACGUUGAGGCUCGAAAGCGUGGGGAGCGAACAGGAUUAGAUACCCGAGUAGUC